GUUUGAUCCUGGCUCAGAAUGAACGUUGGCGGCGUGGAUUAGGCAUGCAAGUCGAGCGAGAACCCAGUCUUCGGACUGGGGACAGCGGCGAACGGGGUAGGAAUACCUCGGUGACGUACCCUCCGGUCGGGGAUAGCGGCGGGAAACUGCCGGUAAUACCCGAUGACCUUCCUUGAUUUUAGCUUUGGGGAAGCAAAGGUGUGAUUCCGUCGGAGGAGCGGCUGAGGUCGUAUUAGCUGGUUGGUGAGGUAACGGCUCACCAAGGCGAUGAUGCGUAGGGGGUGUGAGAGCAUGGCCCCCACCACUGGCACUGAGACACUGGCCAGACACCUACGGGUGGCUGCAGUCGAGAAUCUUCGGCAAUGGGCGCAAGCCUGACCGAGCGACGCCGCGUGCGGGAUGAAGGUCUUCGGAUUGUAAACCGCUGUCGGAGGGGAUGAAGUGUAUCGGGGUACUCCCCGGUAUUUGACAGAGCCUCGGAGGAAGCACGGGCUAAGUUCGUGCCAGCAGCCGCGGUAAUACGAACUGUGCGAACGUUAUUCGGAAUCACUGGGCUUAAAGGGUGCGUAGGCGGCGGCACAAGUCAGGUGUGAAAUCCCCCGGCUCAACCGGGGAACAGCGCUUGAAACUAGGUCGCUCGAGUGAGGUAGGGGUGUAUGGAACUUCCGGUGGAGCGGUGAAAUGUGUAGAGAUCGGAAGGAACGCCGGCGGCGAAAGCGGUACACUGGGCCUUGUCUGACGCUGAGGCACGAAAGCUAGGGGAGUGAACGGGAUUAGAUACCCCGGUAAUCCUAGCCGUAAAC
rnacentral:rRNA from 1 species